CCCUUUUUUUAUCUCCAUGUACUUUGCAGACCUUCCUUCCUCCUCUUGCUAUCUCUCGCUGAGUUUUCAGCAGAAUUUAUUGUCCCUUUUACUCCUUCCGAUUUUAGACUUUAAGAAUGGAGUUUGGACGGUUGUCUUUUUUUCUGAGCAGUCAGGCUCGGGAUUCAUUUCUUCCUACUGUUUCAUGACCUCUUUCGUGAUCUCUAAUGUCGGCACUUUCUUCAUGGAGAUGACUGUUUCCCUAUGGUCGCUGAAUUUUCCGGUUAGAUUCUUCAUUCGCUCCAUGGCAACAUUUCUUGGUGUGUCUUCUUCACCUGCUGUGUGUCUCUUCUCCCCAACCCCUUCCCCCCUCCCCGCCCUUCCUUUAUUUCUUGUCCCUGCUUUGUAUAGAUUACUCAUCAUCGAAGCAGGCGAUUUUUUUAUCCCUCCCUUGAACCUCCUGCAGGAGAACGGCCAGGGUUGUCUUCCAGAUGAUUUCCCGUAAAAGAAAGGGGCGUUGCCAACUUGACACCAUCUUGGAAACAGAAGUUCUCAGAUGACAAAGAUCGGUUGGCUGUGGCCUGUGGCACAGACGGGAGGCAAAAAGAUCGGAGCUUUCCACCCAGUUCUGGGCCACAUCUGCUCGGGCUGGGCCCUUGGGGAAGGCCAUGGAGGAGCCCUAAUGGGGCGGUGAGCAGCCCACCACUUCCCUGGAAGGUCCCCUGCAGAUGUCUGGACGAAACUCAGGACUGCUGGAAAUGUCUGAGAAGACCCUAAGGCGGUCAGGAGCCGAGUUCUUUGUCAUCCCCCAAUUCCUGUCCUACUAAUCACGUCUCCAUCAUGAUAAGACCUGAAAAUAGGGUUUGCAAAAUUAAAACACCUGGGCACAAAAUGCUCUGUAAAACCAUUGAUAGCUCAGCACUUCCUGCCAAGUCUUGGUGGGGGCGGAUACGAGCCACCUACUGGAGGUCGUAGAGUCUACUGCCCACCUUCAGAAAGGCGUUCUAGAACAUCUAAAGUACACAGACUGAACAGAGAGCUUCCCUAGGGUUCCACGGAGAAAAAUAAAAUCUGAUUUUUUUUUCUUUAAUCAGAAUGAAUCAAGUCCUGGACAUUUCCUUUGUUUUUUUUCCUUUAAUGUUCACUCGGGGUUGAGAACUGAGAGCUACCUAGUCCCAGAGAUGGUCAGAGCUCAAAAUUUGGAAUUUGCUGGCUGCAGUCCUGUUCAUUCCCAUCCAGAAAUACAGCUGUCUGCCUGUGUCCAAGACAAAACGUCCUUGCUUCUACUCCCUGGGGACAGAUUGAUGGCUACUGACACCGUCUCCCAGCCUGUCCAGGGGCUGACGGAGGGCCCUGUCCAGCAGGAGCAAGAUCAGAGAGAGUCUUUGUCUGCAAAAGGCUCGAGACCUCAGAGAGAAAACCAAAGUCUGUCUCCACAUCUGUGUGUUGCCACCAGCUGGCCAUCUCUGCCAAGGCCCAGAAGAGGACAGCCAAUAUUUGGAACCCACCGACCAGCGCCUCCAGCCAGCCACUUCCUCUCACAGUGUCUAGAUGCAGGUGAACUCCCAGCAUCCCCGCCGAAGCUCCCUUGGCCGAAGUGCGUAAUUGGAGAGCUGCACAAUUUGUUUGCAGAGGAGACCUGGCUGCACCUGCACCUCCCAGGGCGCACAGGUCCCCGUGCAGAGGCCCCGACCAGGGCCAGGAGACCCGGCCACAGCCUGCGGCCUGCCCAGGGACACAGCCACCACGGGCGACAGCUGAAGCUAACUCUGCUUCCCCCCAAGGGAGCCCAGGGGCAUCCAGGGCCUACUUUGCUGUGCGACUUGCGCCGUCUGCUCAACCCCCAGGACAUUGCUGGGAGUUUAGAAAUGGCCGUGCACUUCUCUCUCCUCGCCUUUCCAAACAUCUACCAAAUGUCUGCUAUGAGUCUGCCCAAGGUCCAGGGGCUGGGGACCAAGUGAUAAAUACACCAGUUCCCUGUCUGUAGGAGAGACACUCAGCCCUUGAGCCAUCAGAGUCCCACAGAGCCAGCCCCAAAGUGGAGGAAAGACACAGGCCUCCCAGAUGGCGGGGCCCGAGCCGGGUGGGAGCACCGAGGGGCUCAGGUGCACACCCCCUCCUCCUGCUCCAGGUAGGUUGGAGUGGAGGCAGGGAGGCCGCAGUCCGAGGCCAGACUCCAGAUUCAGGACGAACCCUCAACCCACGCCCCCUGCGCGUCAACCUGCCUAGAGAAUAGUCUGGCCAAAAUUUCUCCGCGCCAGAGUGAACACACGCAUGCGCAUACGUCCCCUGCGCCGCCCCCUCCCACCGCCCCCCAGGGCUGCGGGCCUGGCUCCCCGGAUCCUCUGGCCACGGUCCUGCCCCGCCUUCCGUGAGCAGGUUCCCCUUCACACCGAGCUGAGCAUCACCCGAUGCCAAACAGAUGGCAGGAAGAGCGCUCGCUCUGAGGGUCUCGGCCCCAAGGUCACUGCUGACACGUGAAGGCUGGACAGCAAGGCAGGGAGAAAUUGAUGAAUGGCUUCCUCCUCCUCCCGGUGCUCAGUCGGGGCCUUUUCCUGCCCAGCCGCCCGCGCUCCGCUGCUGCGCAAAUUCCAACCUCGGACAAGUUUACGCUGAGACCAAGAUGUAAUGAGACGAAGCAAAGGCCACCUCAUAAUUUUGUUCAAGCUUGGACAAAACAAGAUCAGUCCGUCACCCACCAAGUCCCAGGUACCCCCGCCCUUGGCCACGGUGUGUGCCUGGUGUUCUUUGGCUGGAGACCACUGAGAGAACUGGAGUUUCCACCAAGACUCAGCUGAUACCUUCAUCGCCUUGGACCAGGACCCUCACUCAACUCAGUAACUGUGCGCACAUCUUCUAGGGGGUGGGCACUAGGUCCUGGUAUUUUUUUUUUUAAAGCUCCCUAGGUGAUGAGAAGGUGCAUCCUGGGUUUUGAGGGAUGGGGUGACAAGUCACUUUAGGACACCAUAGAGCCAAAGGGCAAUGCCUGUAAAGCACUGAGCUCGGUCCUUGCCCAUGGUACUCAGUUACUGUGACCUGUCAUCUCUUUGCGGCUGUGCCUUCUUCAUUUUGCUGUCCCUCUCAAUAAACGUCUGCUGGAUGAGCAUCGAUGCUGCUGAUGGCUGGAUACGAAUCACAUCAAGUGUAAUACAUCUCAAAUCGCGAUGCCAUCUUUCUCCCCAGACCAUCUUUCCCUUUGCCUUACUGCUGUCCCUGUCACCAAAGGUGGUGUCUGGAGCUGGAGGCUCAGACCCAUCCCGAUGCCCUGUCCACCCCUCCACACAGGCUCUCUUGGCACCCCCUUUCUUUCCGAUCUCACCGACAUCCCCAGUUCAGACCCCAAAGAUCCCACGGUGGCUUGGGUUCUCAGGCUUCCCUCUGGUCUUCUUCUCUCCGCAGUUCAUAAUGUCCAAGGCAGCUCUUUCCAGAGCCUGGCCUGACUGUGACACCCUCAGCUCAGACACCCUGCAUGGAUCCUCAUCCCCUCCGAAUGAAAUUGUCUCAACAGGCAAGGCCUUCCAUAAGCCAGCCCCGCCCCACACACGGAUCACACGCAAGUGUUCUUCUCAUUAGCCCCACGGACAUUCUCCGUGUCUCCAAGUCACUGUGCUUUGCUUAUGCUGAUCCUGCCGCCUGGAAUGCCCUUCCCGCCACUACAGCUCUAUCAAUCCUGUUUAUUCAAAUUCCAGUUCAAAUGCUAUUUCCUCCAUCCCUGCUCACCCCAGCCAAAAGGGACUACUACCCCUUUAUAAACUCUUAAAACCGUCUUCCUUUUUUGAUGCACUUGUGACCCUUUAUCAAACACUGAUCUGAAUUGUGAUUA